rnacentral:rRNA from 1 species
UACGUAGGGGCUAGCGUUGUCCGGAUUAUUGGGCGUAAAGAGCGUGUAGGCGGCCAGGUAGGUCCGUUGUGAAAACUCGAGGCUCAACCUCGAGACGUCGGCGGAAACCCUCUGGCUAGAGUCCGGAAGAGGAGAGUGGAAUUCCUGGUGUAGCGGUGAAAUGCGCAGAUAUCAGGAAGAACACCCGUGGCGAAGGCGGCUCUCUGGGACGGUACCUGACGCUGAGACGCGAAAGCGUGGGGAGCAA